UGCCUCCUCUGAGCACAGACCCUUGGUCCAGCAGUAAACUUCUCUGGAAGAAGACAACACAGGCACAAAAAUGAAUACAAUUUGGAUAUUGUGCUUUGCGGUGCUGAUCAUAACCAUACCAUUUACAACACAGGUGAGCUCUGAUCAGAAGUCCGAAAGUGGCUCAGGCCAAACGGCCUCUAAUCCUUCCACAAAUUCCAGUGCUGUAGGAUUGGGUCCUGUGUCCACCACACUGUACAUGCUGAUCCCAGCAGCCACCCUGGGCUUCAUCCACAGUAGAUCCUGAUGGAUGGAGAGUGUUCGCCAUAGAUGACCAAAACUGAGACAGUGGCGAAAUGGACAGAAGAGCAAAUUUUCCAAAGUUCAAAAAGAUAUGACGCACAACAGCUCAUUUUAAAGUGGAUUUUUAACUAAUGAAAAUGAAUACAUCUGCUGCCUGCAACCCCAUACAGAGGGUCCUCCAACUGAACCUCACCCUUGGGCUCUUUGUCAUGUUUUGUCUAAAAGUCACUGUUUUAGGGAGGGCUCACAUACUCAAUGGCAACUUCUCUUGGAAGAGUUUGUUUCUCCUAAACUCAAAAUAUGUGAUUUAGGUCAAGUAUGUUAAAUAACUAGGCCUACUUAAAUCAUAAAUCACUAUGCAUUUAAAAUAACAGCCUAAUUUCCAUUUCUAUAAUGACAUUGUGUACUAAAAAUUUUACUAUGAAUAUGAUCAAUGUAACCAAUUUCAGAAUGUGUCUCUACUGUAUGCACAAUUAAAGUGGAUGAUUGUAUUUCUUGUAUGUCAUCUUUUAUUCAAUUUGGUAUUAAUGUGUUUUCUCUUUACACCGAGUAUUAGUAAUGCUUUAGAUUCUAGUAUGUAGAGUAGAAAAAAGAAGUAUAGAUCGAAAUGUAUUAGAGAAUUUUUGAAAGCACAACUUUUAUUUUGAGAUCUCCUCAGACAGAGAUGAAGUCUCAGUACAGAGGAUGUGAUCCUCCUCCAAAAACUGGUGGGUAGGUGUGUAAACACGUCAAAUGUCAACCACUGUGAGAAUAAAACUCCCUUCCUGUUCGGCAUCACUAAACACAGACUCUCUUCCCCACAGAAACGUAUCUGGAAGAAGGCAGCAUAAAAAUGAAUAAAAUAUUGAUAUUGUGCCUUGGGAUACUGAUUACCUUACUUUGUUCAACUCAGCAGGUUAGCAUUGAAAAUACCACUGAAUCAGUUUCUGAUCCUUCUGUGGCCAGCGCUGCAGGAUUAGGUCCGUGGUGGCCCACCGCGCUGUGCCUGCUGAUCCCACCAAUUCUGGCCUUCAUCCAGUAGGUCCUAAACUGGUUGGAGAAUGUUGUGAUGACCGAGAUCCAGUAUCGGUCCAGUCACAUGAAGAGCCAACUUUUCCACAAUUCGUGAAUAUAGAAGACACACAGAAGAGAGAAAGAUGCCACAACAACUAAAUUUAAAGGAAAUUUACUUUCUCAGGACUGUACCGAGGGUCCUCCACACCCCAACAAAAGUCUCACUUCUCUUGUAAUCUGACCACUGUAAUGCAUUUCCUCCACAAUUUUUUGUAAUGAUUGUGAUGAACUAUUAAUUGGAAUAAUUAAGAAUGUGUCUAUGCACAAUUAAAGUGGAUAAAUGUA